UUUUAUGGAGAGUUUGAUCCUGGCUCAGAGUGAACGCUGGCGGCGUGCCUAAUACAUGCAAGUCGAACGAUGAAGCUUCUAGCUUGCUAGAAGUGGAUUAGUGGCGCACGGGUGAGUAAGGUAUAGUUAAUCUGCCCUACACAAGAGGACAAC
rnacentral:rRNA from 2 species